UCCUCUGUAGCUCAGCGGUAGAGCGGGUGGCUGUUAACCACUAGGUCGUUGGUUCGAUCCCAACCGGGGGAGCCA
rnacentral:tRNA from 2 species